GGUGCUGCAUGGCUGUCGUCAGCUCCGUGUCGUGAGAUGUUGGGUUAAGUCCCGCAACGAGCGCAACCCUGCCUUUAGUUGCCAGCAGUUCGGCUGGGCACUCUAAAGGGACUGCCGGUGUUAAACCGGAGGAAGGUGGGGAGUGACGUCAAGUCCUCAUGGCCUUUAUGACCAGGGCUACACACGUACUACAAUGGCCGAUACAAAGGGCAGCGACACUGCGAGGUGAAGCCAAUCCCGUAAAAUCGGUCUCAGUCCGGAUUGGAGUCUGCAACUCGACUCCAUGAAGUUGGAAUCGCUAGUAAUCGUGGAUCAGCAUGCCACGGUGAAUACGUUCCCGGGCCUU
rnacentral:rRNA from 1 species